UCCGGUUUAUCACCGGCAGUCCCCUAUGAGUCCCCGGCCGAACCGCUGGCAACAUAGGGCAAGGGUUGCGCUCGUUGCGGGACUUAACCCAACAUCUCACGACACGAGCUGACGACAGCCAUGCAGCAUCUGUGCCACACCCUCGAAGGCGACCGGCUUUCACCGGCUUGCAGUGGCAUGUCAAACCUGGGUAAGGUUCUUCGCGUUGCGUCGAAUUAAACCACAUGCUCCACCGCUUGUGCGGGCCCCCGUCAAUUCCUUUGAGUUUCAGCCUUGCGGCCGUACUCCCCAGGCGGGGCACUUAAUGCGUUAGCGCCGGCCCUCGGGGGGUCGCUCCCCCAAGCGCCUAGUGCCCAUCGUUUACGGCGUGGACUAC
rnacentral:misc_RNA from 1 species